rnacentral:rRNA from 1 species
GUUGCAGUUAAACGUCCGUAGUCAAAUUUUAGUCUUUAGGCGGAGUGGCCUGGUCUUCAUUGAUCAAGCUCGUUCCUGCCGAGACUUUUUUUUUGGUUAUGCUAUGGGUGCCUUCGGGUGUUUAUAGUCUCUAGCCAAAUAAUUACCAUGAGCAAAUCAGAGUGUUUAAAGCAGGCUUUUAAGCUUGAAUGUGUUAGCAUGGAAUAAUGAAAUAUGACUUUAGUCCCUAUUUCGUUGGUUCAGGAACUUAAGUAAUGAUGAAUAGAAACGGUUGGGGGCAUUUGUAUUUGGUCGCUAGAGGUGAAAUUCUUGGAUUGACCGAAGACAAACUACUGCGAAAGCAUUUGACCCAGGACGUUUUCAUUGAUCAAGGUCUAAAGUUAAGGGAUCGAAGACGAUUAGAUACCGUCGUAGUCUUAACCACAAACUAUGCCGACUAGAGAUUGGGCCUGUUUAUUAUGACUGGCUCAGCAUCUUAGCGAAAGUAAAGUUUUUGGGUUCUGGGGGGAGUAUGGGACGCAAGGCUGAAACUUAAAGGAAUUGACGGAAGGGCACCACCAGGAGUGGAGCCUGCGGCUUAAUUUGACUCAACACGGGGAAACUCACCAGGUCCAGACAUAGUAAGGAUUGACAGAUUGAAAGCUCUUUCUAGAUUCUAUGGGGUGGUGGUGCAUGGCCGUUCUUAGUUCGUGGAGUGAUUUGUCUGGUUAAUUCCGAUAACGAACGAGACCUUAUUCUGCUAAAUAGGCAGGUCAACUUUUUAGUUGAUUAAUAGAUUUAUCUAUCUGGCUUCUUAGAGAGACUAUCGGCUUCAGCCGAAUGAGUUUAGGCAAUAACAGGUCUGUGAUGCCCUUAGAUGUUCUGGGCGCACGCGCGCUACACUGAU